rnacentral:rRNA from 1 species
AUGGCGUAUACAAAGAGAAGCGACCUCGCGAGAGCAAGCGGACCUCAUAAAGUACGUCGUAGUCCGGAUUGGAGUCUGCAACUCGACUCCAUGAAGUCGGAAUCGCUAGUAAUCGUAGAUCAGAAUGCUACGGUGAAUACGUUCCCGGGCCUUGUACACACCGCCCGUCACACCAUGGGAGUGGGUUGCAAAAGAAGUAGG